UACGUAGGGUGCAAGCGUUAAUCGGAAUUACUGGGCGUAAAGCGUGCGCAGGCGGUGAUGUAAGACAGGUGUGAAAUCCCCGGGCUUAACCUGGGAACUGCAUUUGUGACUGCAUCGCUGGAGUGCGGCAGAGGGGGAUGGAAUUCCGCGUGUAGCAGUGAAAUGCGUAGAUAUGCGGAGGAACACCGAUGGCGAAGGCAAUCCCCUGGGCCUGCACUGACGCU
rnacentral:rRNA from 1 species